AUGGAUUGGUCCGUGGGGUUUGGUUGGCCCACGAGGAACGAAGGUCCGUUAGUUACGCCUACGGCCUGAACUGAACCGUUCUCUCGGCAUUUCAAGAGCCGCGAAAGAUUCGGCCGGCGCCCUCCUCUUCUGUGGCGAAACCACGAAACUUCUUCCGCCGCUAGAAAGGAGUCUACGAAGGGAGGAGGACUGAUGAAAGGAUAGGAAGCGGAGGAGGAACUGGAAGAAGGGAGAAAAGGGAGGAGGAUCAGCCCGAGUCGAAUCUGAAGGCGGGGGGGAUUUAUUAAGGUCGUGGCGUGGAUGGGGAUAAUACGGAGCAGUUUCUCGUUCUUAGCUGGGACGGUGUGCGGGAUCUACAUCGCCCAAAACUAUCAGGUCCCCAACAUCAAGAAGCUCGCCUACUCCGCCAUUUUUAGGGCAAAGGAGGUCGAAGAGACGUACCGCAAGCCCAAGAAGCCCGGUGAAGUAGACGACGACUGAGCGACUACGAUGUGCAGAGCCAAAAGAGGCCAAUGUUAUGCCAGCGCACAAACAAGUCUUUAAGUCGAAACUCCAAGUCACGAUAUUGCUGAUGCAGUUGAUUGUGGCAUUAUGGUGACAGCUUUACAAUAGUAAUGGAGAAAGAUACCAUCACUCAUUCUUGGCGGGUCUGAUUACAUGAGCGUCCAAUCUAUUAUCUCUUUCAACUGUAUCGUUUUGAGUCGAUUAUUAGAAAUACGUGCUAAUUUUGUUUUCCGGGCAUUUGGUAAAUCUUUGCAAGAGAGCUUGCGGAUGGACAUAUAGGGCUUGUACAUUAUACUCUGUAUGCUAUGAUGAAAUUUCUUUGUGUUACGAUUC